ensembl:lincRNA
GCUUCCCAGGGCCCUGUCCAUCAUGUCCUGGCAAGGCAAAGUGACUUCAGAGGGCCAAAAAGAAGAAAAGGGAGUGAGCCAGUCGUUAAGACUCCUAAUCCCGGCUUAUUUUUACUGCUUCUCAACACAGCAUUGCAAGUGGUUGAUUUGGUAAGUAUGAAUGCAGUAGACAAAAAUCUCUGUUCUUAAAGCAUUCUUGCUAAUGUC